GGAUGUGAGGGCGAUCUGGCUGCGACAUCUGUCACCCCAUUGAUCGCCAGGGUUGAUUCGGCUGAUCUGGCUGGCUAGGCGGGUGUCCCCUUCCUCCCUCACCGCUCCAUGUGCGUCCCUCCCGAAGCUGCGCGCUCGGUCAAAGAGGACGACCUUCCCCGAUAGAGGAGAGGACCGUUCUUCGGUCAAGGGUAUACGAGUAGCUGCGCUCCCCUGCUAGAACCUCCAAACAAGCUCUUAAAAAGGAGGAUUCUGAACACAGAGGACAAGAAAAAGUAAGAAACUUCUCUGGUUCCCAUUAGA
ensembl:misc_RNA 7SK 7SK RNA